AAGGCUGCUGAUAUGUAAGUUCAAGCAUCUCCCUUUUCUCCUCAGCUCCAUUGAAUGUUGCCAGAUUUUAUUUUUUCUGUGAUUUUGAAUUUCUGCACUUGACUCAUUCCCUGCUGUGUCUUGAUUCCUGUUAUUGUCUUUUCUCUGGUUACAACAUUGAGUACUUCAGCUUUUACCAUACCUGCUUUUACCACUGGCAGAGCAUACUGGCCAUCUUCUCUGACAUCUCACAUUCCAGCAUCUUUGAUGCAACUCAUGAGAUAACAGUGGAGCUUACUCCCCUGCUCCAAAAAUAUGAGCUCCCACUUAGUCCUCUUUUAUUGUCAUAAUGGAUCAAUUAUGAUGGAUCAAAAACCCUCUAUGGCUUCUAAUUGCUAUUAUUUUCUACCUCGAAGCCAUUCCUUUCCCCUCAUGAGGUUAGUAAUGGACCUCUUCUGUGUUGCAAAGAUAUCUAACCUUCAUUGGAAGCAGAGACCAUCCACUUUCACUUCCACAAGUGCUCAUUACUAACAGAGAACAGUUGCUGGACCAGCCUAAAAUGCAGACCACAUCUUUCAAGAGAAGGUAAGACAUUUGUGAUACAGAAGAUAUGGACAAGCACCUUUCUAAUAUUUAUCUUCCUGCAUGCAGAAUUACAAGAGGGACUUAUGUGCUUAAUGAAAGAAGGCCAAGUAGUGCAUUACAGUAUCUUAUUUAAGGCAGGACCCUGAGAAAGAAUUUCAGAACCUUUGUUCCUGAUGAAAGUUCUUAUACCAAGAACUUUAAAAUGGCUUUCCAUGUUUGGGCUCAGAGACUAGGACAAAGGUACUCUGAAAAGCGUAUUUCUCCUUAAACUGAUCUAAACAUCUUUCUUGUUUUGCAAUAUUAAAAUAAAAAGUGAGGUAAGGAUACAGAGCAGAAGCUGCACUAAGCAGAAAGAUACAUAAGGAUUUAGCAACCACUGAGCAUAAACACUGCAUACAAAUAGCUGAUUCACUUAAUUUAGUGAGGUUUCAACCAUCCACAAAACAACCAGCAUCCUGGAGUCUUUACAUACAUUUUUAAAUAUUCUACAUUAAAAGCUGAUUUAUUUGCUUACAUGAGCCUGAAUUAUAGCCAUACAAAUAUGAUUUUGGUACACAAAGAAAUCAUAGCAGCUGAAUAAAGGUUUGCACUUUCUUUAGCACACAAAAGUUGAACAAAAAGUGGUUUUUCCAUGUAAAGUACUAUAGCUCUAGUAAAUUUUGUUUUUGAAAUGCAUGCAAACUGUAUGUUUACUGUAUGUUUAAUGUCAUAAACAAAAAGGGAGAUUUUACUUUGUAAGGGAAAAGAACACAACAGUAGCUGUAUGUGUGCAACAGAAUUAGGUAAGUCAUGGCCUCUCAGGAAUAAAAUCAGCCAUUAUCCCUUGAAGAAAGUAGACAGCUGGGAAGCUGAAUUCUGCUCACUAUAGCAAGUAUAUAUUUAACUUCACUGAACUGCCUAGAGUUACAUUAAUGAAUCCAUCUGAAGAACUCAAUUGGGUCUUCCUGUCUAGACUUGAGAAGUAAAUAAAUAUUACCUAAUGCAUGGUAUUCAAUACAACAAACCUCAUCACAGUUAUAUACACUUGUUGCAAGAUGAAGCAAGCCAGCGAUAAGCACUCUACUCACUAUUUCACAUUGACAUCUGCACUUUGUUUAGUCUGCAUUUUAUUACACUGCCUGUUCCUUACAUUCAGCUGCUGUGAUUGAUACGCUGACAGCAAUUGAUGUACUUCAGAAAAGGCCUCAUUCAGUUAUAGGAACAAUAGGUCAAGUAAGCAAUUAAUUGCUUGUUGCUACAUCAGAACAGUUACUUGAAGACAGCUAUAUGUUUAUACAGGUCUAGGUGCUAUGCAAUAUCUAAGAGAAAUAAGCCCAGCCACAAGUCAGACAAUUUCCACCUGCCUAGAGUCCAUGAUUUCUCCAUAAUUGCACCUAUUUGCAUGUUUUUAACUAACAAAUGGCACUGCCUUGUUUUGGAAAGCCAUUAGUCACACAAGUGGAUGUUUAGAAGCUGGUUUCUGCAGAGAUUGCAGAAACCAGCAGGCCAUCCCUAUGUUGGUCUCAGAAAACUUAAGUGUCAACUUUGUGCUUACUCUACCCACAAGUGUCACUAAGUGACCACAAGUGUUCCUAAGACAAAUUCUGAUUUAUGGUAUACACUAAGUCUCCCUUUAAUUUUUUCAUUCUUUUGAUUUGACUAUUCUGGAGUCAUCAUUUGACCAAGGGUAGAAAGACAAAGCUCAGUAGAGGCAAAGUGAGAGGUGAUAAGUGAUUCUGCUGUUGAGGUAUCAGGAUUCUCAGGCCCUUGAUAAGAGCAAUGCUUUUCGCAGCAAGCAAAGGAGAAUUUACACAGCUCCUCUUAUCCUUCAGUUUCCAACACACUACCCAGAAGAAAGAGUUCUUUUCAGUCAGUGGUAAACAUCAGUUUUAAGAUGUAGUAUCUUGAAGAGAUCCAUAGUUUUGGUUUAAGCUCUUAGGACAAUAAGUGUCAAGGCCUACAUCAUUAUCUGUAAGCUCCAUCAGCAGUUAUUUUAGGUUUGCAGCUAUAAUUAACAAUAGCCAUAUUGGUAUUCAUGACUGCAAGCAGGCAUAGAC